UGGGGAAUCUUGCGCAAUGGGCGAAAGCCUGACGCAGCCAUGCCGCGUGAAUGAUGAAGGUCUUAGGAUUGUAAAAUUCUUUCACCAGGGACGAUAAUGACGGUACCUGGAGAAGAAGCCCCGGCUAACUUCGUGCCAGCAGCUGCGGUAAUACGAAGGGGGCUAGCGUUGCUUGGAAUUACUGGGCGUAAAGGGAGCGUAGGCGGACAUUUAAGUCAGUGGUGAAAUCCCGGGGCUCAACCUCGGAAUUGCCUUUGAUACUGGGAGUCUUGAGUGUGAUAGAGGUGUGUGGAACGUAGAGUGUAGAGGUGAAAUUCGUAGAUAUUCGGAAGAACACCAGUGGCGAAGGCAACAUACUGGCUCAUUACUGACGCUGAGGCACGAAAGCGUGGGGAGCAAACA
rnacentral:rRNA from 1 species